CGGAGGGUGCAAGCGUUAUCCGGAUUUAUUGGGUUUAAAGGGUGCGUAGGCGGUAUUUUAAGUCAGUGGUGAAAUGUUGCAGCUUAACUGUAGAAUUGCCAUUGAAACUGAAGUACUUGAGUUAUCUUGAGGUAGGCGGAAUGUGUAGUGUAGCGGUGAAAUGCUUAGAUAUUACACAGAACACCGAUUGCGAAGGCAGCUUACUAAGGAUAAACUGACGCUCAGGCACGAAAGCGUGGGGAUCGAACAGGAUUAGAUACCCUGGUAGUCCACGCCGUAAACGAUGAUGACUCGCUGUUGGCGAUACACAGUCAGCGGCUUAGCGAAAGCGUUAAGUCAUCCACCUGGGGAGUCCGCUCGCAAGAGUG
rnacentral:rRNA from 1 species